CCUACGGUGAGCAGCAGUGAGGAAUAUUGGUCAAUGGCCGGAAGGCUGAACCAGCCAAGCCGCGUGAAGGACGAAGGUGCCAAGCAUUGUAAACUUCUUUUGUCAAGGGACAAAAUCAGGCUCGAGAGCCUGACCGAGGGUACUUGAAGAAAAAGCAUCGGCUAACUCCGUGCAAGCAGCCGCGGUAAUACGGAGAAUGCGAGCGUUAUCGGGAUUUAUUGGGUUGAAAGGGUGCAUAGGCGGGCUGUUAAGUCAGCGGGAAAAGCACGGGGCUCAACCCCGGCGAGCCGUUGAAACUGGCGGUCUUGAGAUGUCGAGAGGUAUGCGGAAUGCGCAGUGUAGCGGUGAAAUGCUUAGAUAUUGCGCAGAACUCCGAUUGCGAAGGCAGCAUACCGGCGGCGAUCUGACGCUGAGGCACGAAAGCGUGGGUAUCGAACAGGAUUAGAUACCCGAGUAGUC
rnacentral:rRNA from 1 species